rnacentral:rRNA from 1 species
GACGAACGCUGGCGGCGUGCUUAACACAUGCAAGUCGAACGGAAAGGCCCUGCUUUUGUGGGGUGCUCGAGUGGCGAACGGGUGAGUAACACGUGAGUAACCUGCCCUUGACUUUGGGAUAACUUCAGGAAACUGGGGCUAAUACCGGAUAGGAGCUCCUGCUGCAUGGUGGGGGUUGGAAAGUUUCGGCGGUUGGGGAUGGACUCGCGGCUUAUCAGCUUGUUGGUGGGGUAGUGGCUUACCAAGGCUUUGACGGGUAGCCGGCCUGAGAGGGUGACCGGCCAAAUUGGGACUGAGCUACGGCCCAGACUCCUACGGGAGACAGCAGUGGGGAAUAUUGCACAAUGGGCGGAAGCCUGAUGCAGCAACGCCGCGUGCGGGAUGACGGCCUUCGGGUUGUAAACCGCUUUCGCCUGUGACGAAGCGUGAGUGACGGUAAUGGGUAAAGAAGCACCGGCUAACUACGUG